rnacentral:rRNA from 1 species
GAUGAACGCUGGCGGCGUGCCUAAUACAUGCAAGUCGAGCGAACAGACGAGGAGCUUGCUCCUCUGACGUUAGCGGCGGACGGGUGAGUAACACGUGGAUAACCUACCUAUAAGACUGGGAUAACUUCGGGAAACCGGAGCUAAUACCGGAUAAUAUAUUGAACCGCAUGGUUCAAUAGUGAAAGACGGUUUUGCUGUCACUUAUAGAUGGAUCCGCGCCGCAUUAGCUAGUUGGUAAGGUAACGGCUUACCAAGGCAACGAUGCGUAGCCGACCUGAGAGGGUGAUCGGCCCGACUGGAACUGGGAGACAGUCCAGAUGCCUACGGGAGGCAGCAGUAGGGAAUCUUGCGCAAUGGGCGUAAGCCUGCAGAAGCAACGCCGCGUGAGAGAUGAAGUGCUUAGGACCCUAAAACUCUGUUAUCGGGGAAGAACAAAUGUGUAAGUAACUAUGCACGGCUAGACGGUACCUAAUCAGAAAGCCACGGCUAACUACGUG